rnacentral:lncRNA from 1 species
UCAAUCCUGAUGUUGGUCCAAUACUCUUUUCAGCCCAUUCACAUAUUCGUACAAAUGAUCCUCCUUUUCGACAAAAUUUGCAAAUAAUUUCAUAUUUCAGCACUAAAUAUGUUUACAUCACAGGCCAUAAAGCCAUACAAACUAGUAUCACUUGUUCCUAUACAAAACUAUCAAAUGAUACAUACAACAAAACAGAAUACAGAAAAUUUAGUUCAACAAAAAUAAGUUUUCUUCCUCUUCCAUCUUCCAGAACACAAAACACCUGUGAAAGUAAAGAUGCCACAACAAAAAUGGAAGGAUCAGCCAUUAGAAGCAUAUUGAGUACAAGGGAAACACGCACUGUGAAAAUUUUGACAUCACGAAUAUUUUUUAUAUUACAAUAACAAACAGAAAUGUAAUCUGAUUGCUUAAGACAUAUGGCAUUAUCAACAAGACAAAGCAAAAUUUAUAGUGCCAACUCGGAAUAAGAUAAAGCAAAAUUUAUAAAUCUAUAGCAUCACACACGAGGUCUAAAUUUAUACUAUGUUCCUUUAGAAGCAAGAGUUGGUUCAUGUCUAGCUUUUAUUGCAGAUAACUAGUAAAUUUCCGCAAAAAUUAGGAGCGACAUAUGUUUUAAUCUCGUGUUUGCGGUAUAUAUUCACAGCAUGUAAGAAUACUUUGAUUAACAAACUAACCAACCAUCAACUAACACUUCAUAGUACCAACUAACACUUCAUGGUACCAAAAAAAUGGGGUGGCGCUCACCAAUUCACACGUGCAGCAGCCAUGAGGGCUUCUUCGUGUUCCAUCUACAGCUGUGGCAGCUUCUACAAAUUUGAGACACAAAACAAACGCAUGCAG